GAUGAACGCUGGCGGCGUGCCUAAUACAUGCAAGUCGAGCGAACGGACGAGAAGCUUGCUUCUCUGAUGUUAGCGGCGGACGGGUGAGUAACACGUGGAUAACCUACCUAUAAGACUGGGAUAACUUCGGGAAACCGGAGCUAAUACCGGAUAAUAUUUUGAACCGCAUGGUUCAAAAGUGAAAGACGGUCUUGCUGUCACUUAUAGAUGGAUCCGCGCUGCAUUAGCUAGUUGGUAAGGUAACGGCUUACCAAGGCAACGAUGCAUAGCCGACCUGAGAGGGUGAUCGGCCACACUGGAACUGAGACACGGUCCAGACUCCUACGGGAGGCAGCAGUAGGGAAUCUUCCGCAAUGGGCGAAAGCCUGACGGAGCAACGCCGCGUGAGUGAUGAAGGUCUUCGGAUCGUAAAACUCUGUUAUUAGGGAAGAACAUAUGUGUAAGUAACUGUGCACAUCUUGACGGUACCUAAUCAGAAAGCCACGGCUAACUACGUGCCAGCAGCCGCGGUAAUACGUAGGUGGCGAGCGUUAUCCGGAAUUAUUGGGCGUAAAGCGCGCGUAGGCGGUUUUUUAAGUCUGAUGUGAAAGCCCACGGCUCAACCGUGGAGGGUCAUUGGAAACUGGAAAACUUGAGUGCAGAAGAGGAAAGUGGAAUUCCAUGUGUAGCGGUGAAAUGCGCAGAGAUAUGGAGGAACACCAGUGGCGAAGGCGACUUUCUGGUCUGUAACUGACGCUGAUGUGCGAAAGCGUGGGGAUCAAACAGGAUUAGAUACCCUGGUAGUCCACGCCGUAAACGAUGAGUGCUAAGUGUUAGGGGGUUUCCGCCCCUUAGUGCUGCAGCUAACGCAUUAAGCACUCCGCCUGGGGAGUACGACCGCAAGGUUGAAACUCAAAGGAAUUGACGGGGACCCGCACAAGCGGUGGAGCAUGUGGUUUAAUUCGAAGCAACGCGAAGAACCUUACCAAAUCUUGACAUCCUUUGACAACUCUAGAGAUAGAGCUUUCCCCUUCGGGGGACAAAGUGACAGGUGGUGCAUGGUUGUCGUCAGCUCGUGUCGUGAGAUGUUGGGUUAAGUCCCGCAACGAGCGCAACCCUUAAGCUUAGUUGCCAUCAUUAAGUUGGGCACUCUAAGUUGACUGCCGGUGACAAACCGGAGGAAGGUGGGGAUGACGUCAAAUCAUCAUGCCCCUUAUGAUUUGGGCUACACACGUGCUACAAUGGACAAUACAAAGGGCAGCGAAACCGCGAGGUCAAGCAAAUCCCAUAAAGUUGUUCUCAGUUCGGAUUGUAGUCUGCAACUCGACUACAUGAAGCUGGAAUCGCUAGUAAUCGUAGAUCAGCAUGCUACGGUGAAUACGUUCCCGGGUCU
rnacentral:rRNA from 1 species